rnacentral:piRNA from 1 species
UACUGCCCCAUGUAUAGGAAGAGAUUCCUUU